UGCUGCGAAGCGCGAAGGUGCCGAGAAGAAACCGGAUCAACUUCUGUUACUACUGCUAAAACUCCGGAAAGGGUCGGAGCCGCCGAGUGGACGCCGCGUCUGCUGCGCGAUCUCCGGUGAUGGCGCGAAGGGUGAUGUGUGGCAAGGAGGAACUCAGUUUGUGACCAGGGAAACUGAGUCACUGGAUGCCUGAGCAAAGAUGAUUUUGACAAGGGAAACAGGACUGUUCUCAGACCUUUCCCAAAUUCCCAGAGAACUGGAAAAGCCAGCGUGAGUGGUGAGAAAAUUGCCUGGAGCCGGGAAGAAACCAGUCCCAGAGGAAAACAGAACUGAAGUACUCGCCACCAUUGUGUAAUGAAGAAUCCUCAUGGUGGAAUAAGUGGAGUAAAUCCUAAACCAAACCCCUCUCCCCAAAGCACUCCCCUCCUUGGUUUCCCCCUUUCUCUGAAAGCUGACGGCCAAUGUCCAGCAGCAGAAGGCCACCCUCCUGUCUUGAUAUCCCCUCCUGGCCCACUCAGGAGUCUAAGGUCAGGACAAGUUACCUGUACAUCCUUCCAGGUGGUGAUAAGACUGACUUCCAAGUCAAUCUGAGCUACCUGGUCAGAGUCAAUCUGUGGAAGAGUCAAAAAGAAGUGUGUAUUGUGGAGGCGGGGGGUGGUGCUAGGAAAUGAGGGAAGAAGGGAGAGAUGUACAAGGCCAGAGGGUCUAUAUGAG